rnacentral:rRNA from 1 species
AAGUCGAGUUGGCUUAGGGAUACGUUCGUUGGGUAGGGGAGCGUUCUGUAAGCCUGUGAAGGUGUGUCGUGAGGCAUGCUGGAGGUAUCAGAAGUGCGAAUGCUGACAUAAGUAACGAUAAAGCGGGUGAAAAGCCCGCUCGCCGGAAGACCAAGGGUUCCUGUCCAACGUUAAUCGGGGCAGGGUGAGUCGACCCCUAAGGCGAGGCCGAAAGGCGUAGUCGAUGGGAAACGGGUUAAUAUUCCCGUACUUGGUGUUACUGCGAAGGGGGGACGGAGAAGGCUAUGUUGGCCGGGCGACGGUUGUCCCGGUUUAAGCGUGUAGGUGUGUGUUCCAGGUAAAUCCGGUUCACUUUAACACUGAGGCGUGACGACGAGGCACUACGGUGCUGAAGCAACAAAUGCCCUGCUUCCAGGAAAAGCCUCUAAGCAUCAGGUAACAUCAAAUCGUACCCCAAACCGACACAGGUGGUCAGGUAGAGAAUACCAAGGCGCUUGAGAGAACUCGGGUGAAGGAACUAGGCAAAAUGGUGCCGUAACUUCGGGAGAAGGCACGCUGACACGUAGGUGAAGUGAUUUACUCAUGGAGCUGAAGUCAGUCGAAGAUACCAGCUGGCUGCAACUGUUUAUUAAAAACACAGCACUGUGCAAACACGAAAGUGGACGUAUACGGUGUGACGCCUGCCCGGUGCCGGAAGGUUAAUUGAUGGGGUCAGCGCAAGCGAAGCUCCUGAUCGAAGCCCCGGUAAACGGCGGCCGUAACUAUAACGGUCCUAAGGUAGCGAAAUUCCUUGUCGGGUAAGUUCCGACCUGCACGAAUGGCGUAAUGAUGGCCAGGCUGUCUCCACCCGAGACUCAGUGAAAUUGAACUCGCUGUGAAGAUGCAGUGUACCCGCGGCAAGACGGAAAGACCCCGUGAACCUUUACUAUAGCUUGACACUGAACAUUGAGCCUUGAUGUGUAGGAUAGGUGGGAGGCUUUGAAGCGUGGACGCCAGUCUGCGUGGAGCCGACCUUGAAAUACCACCCUUUAAUGUUUGAUGUUCUAACGUGGACCCGUGAUCCGGGUUGCGGACAGUGUCUGGUGGGUAGUUUGACUGGGGCGGUCUCCUCCUAAAGAGUAACGGAGGAGCACGAAGGUUGGCUAAUCCUGGUCGGACAUCAGGAGGUUAGUGCAAUGGCAUAAGCCAGCUUGACUGCGAGCGUGACGGCGCGAGCAGGUGCGAAAGCAGGUCAUAGUGAUCCGGUGGUUCUGAAUGGAAGGGCCAUCGCUCAACGGAUAAAAGGUACUCCGGGGAUAACAGGCUGAUACCGCCCAAGAGUUCAUAUCGACGGCGGUGUUUGGCACCUCGAUGUCGGCUCAUCACAUCCUGGGGCUGAAGUAGGUCCCAAGGGUAUGGCUGUUCGCCAUUUAAAGUGGUACGCGAGCUGGGUUUAGAACGUCGUGAGACAGUUCGGUCCCUAUCUGCCGUGGGCGCUGGAGAACUGAGGGGGGCUGCUCCUAGUACGAGAGGACCGGAGUGGACGCAUCACUGGUGUUCGGGUUGUCAUGCCAAUGGCACUGCCCGGUAGCUAAAUGCGGAAGAGAUAAGUGCUGAAAGCAUCUAAGCACGAAACUUGCCCCGAGAUGAGUUCUCCCUGAGACUUUAGGUCUCCUGAAGGAACGUU